rnacentral:tRNA from 1 species
GACUUGGUAGCUCAGUUGGUAGAGCAUCUCCCUUUUAAGGAGAGGGUCCUGGGUUCGAGCCCCAGCCAGGUCAC